CUGACUAUGUAAAUCGAUUGGGAAAUCGAUUUCAUAACAAGGGUGUAAGGAAAUCUUAAGUGUUUGUAAAUGUUAAAUCGAUUAGGCAAUCGAUUAGCUUAAUUAAAAAUGAAAACUGCACAAGUCAGUAGCCUCUGAUUUGGAGAGUAAUCGAUUGGGAAAUCGAUUGAACAUUUCACAAAUUAAACCUGAUGGUAACACAUCGAUUGGUAAAUCGAUUGGAUAAGUCACAGUGGCACUCCAGUGCCGAGGAAAUCGAUUGGCAAAUCGAUUGACAAAGCAUCAUUUGAA
rnacentral:lncRNA from 1 species